rnacentral:rRNA from 1 species
GAUGAACGCUGGCGGCGUGCCUAAUACAUGCAAGUCGAGCGAACGGACGAGAAGCUUGCUUUUCUGAUGUGAGCGGCGGACGGGUGAGUAACACGUGGAUAACCUACCUAUAAGACUGGGAUAACUUCGGGAAACCGGAGCUAAUACCGGAUAAUAUUAUGAACCGCAUGGGUCAAAAGUGAAAGACGGUCUUGCUGUCACUUAAAGAUGGAUCCGCGCUGCAUUAGCUAGUUGGUAAGGUAACGGCUUACCAAGGCAACGAUGCAUAGCCGACCUGAGAGGGUGAUCGGACACACUGGGACUGAGAGACGGGCCAGACUCCUACGGGGGGCAGCCGUAGGGACUCUUGCGCGAUGGGCGAAAGCCUGACGGAGCAACGCCGCGUAGGUGAUGAAGGUCUUCGGAUCGUAAAACUCUGUUAUUAGGGAAGGAGAUAUGUGUAAGUAACUGAGCACAUAUUGACGGUACCUAAUCAGAAAGCCACGGCUAACUCCGUG